rnacentral:rRNA from 1 species
UACGGAGGGGGCAAGCGUUGUUCGGAGUCACUGGGCGUAAAGGGCGCGUAGGCGGUGGAGCGAGUCAGGCGUGAAAGCCCCGGGCUUAACCUGGGAAUUGCGCUUGAUACUGCUUUGCUUGAGACCGGGAGAGGAUGGCGGAAUUCCCAGUGUAGAGGUGAAAUUCGUAGAUAUUGGGAAGAACACCGGUGGCGAAGGCGGCCAUCUGGACCGGAUCUGACGCUGAGGAGCGAAAGCGUGGGGAGCAAACAGG